UCGGCUAAGGUUUCAUGGCGGUCUCUGUAAUACCAACACCACUUCAAUGGCGUCCUGUUGGUGACGAUAAUGUUAACGGUCUCUUCACCCACCGUUCAUUAAUCUCCACUCCGCUGCCGUGCCGUCGGCUUUCAACCGUCGUAUGCUCGUCAUCUCUCAAAUCGCCUAAAUCUAACGAGGAGACGAGGGAGUUACUCAAACAAUACGGUCUUGAUCCCGACGAAUUCCUCUCUGAACCUACUCCUUCGAAGACGAGAAGGAAUAAAGAGCAGCAAAAGAGUGGAAGAGGGAAGCAGGUCGCACCACCACAGGAACAAGCUAAGCCCAGGGAGACUCAUAAAUUGCUUCAGGUUCUUGGAGGGAAGGCACGAAGGAAGAAAUUACUCUCACCAAAGGGCAUGGAUGUCCGCCCAAUGAUGGAAGUAGUCAAAGGUGCCGCCUUUGGUAUUUUGCAGGCUGCUGGUGGCUGUCCUACAUCCUUGAGGCCUGGUCGAUGGUUAGACUUAUAUAGCGGUACAGGGUCUGUUGGCAUAGAGGCUAUAAGCCGAGGAUGCUCUGAGGUGCAUUUUGUGGAGAUGGAUCCAUGGGUUGUUUCUGACGUUCUUCGUCCUAAUUUAGAAUGGACUGGCUUUCUUGAUAAUUCGGUUAUACACACAGUUCGUGUAGAAACUUACUUGGAGCGUGCCAAAGAAUCUGCAGGCAAAGAUGGUCCAUUUGAUUACAUUAGUGUCACACCUCCAUAUACGCAAGUGGAUUACAAGAUCUUAAUGAAUCAAAUUACAGAAUCAUCUGUGAUCGGAGAUGAUUCUUUUAUGCUUGUGGAGUAUCCAUUCCGAACCGACAUGCUGGAAACAUAUGGGGGUCUUGUCAAGUUAGCUGAUCGCCGGUUUGGAAGGACACACCUAGCAAUAUACGGUCCCAAGUGGGCACAAAAGAAGCGAAGAUCAUGAGCUUCAAAUCAGAUUGAAGUCGGAGCCUUUUGGUUGGGCUACGGCAGAUCUACUUUACAGAAUCAAGGUGUACGCAAGUUCAAAAUACUCGUUCAGUUGGUGUUCAUACUUACCGUUGUUACCUUGAUCAACCUCAGCAUAUUUGCACGGAGUAGGGAAGAUGAGUGAGAUCACAAAUGCACAUGACAAAGCAUCGUUUCUACAAUCACACAAGUCGCAAUUCCGCCCACUGCACGUGUUGGUGUUUCCAAUUCAAAAGGAGGAGCAGCAACAAGAAGGCACGAAAGGCUGGCUCUGAACUACGUGAGCAAAAGACGAGUACCAAAUGGACCUGAUCCUAUUCACAACAGGAAAAUCGGAAACGCCACACAACCGCCUGAACGAGACUAAGUUUGACAUAAAACGACUUGUGUACAUGGAAAUAUGUCCGGGAACCAACGUAGAAGAGCCACACGAAGUUUCUACGGAUUUCCUUCCAUUCUCAAAAAACCCGUUACAUAAUCUUUUACACUCGAGAUAGCGAUCAUGAUACCUCAUCCGACAUCCAUGACAUGUUUUUUUGUUCGGUUUUACGAAAGAAAGUAUGAAGCUUUUUUAAAAGGUGGUGUUAAGGGUGUUUUUGGUGUAGUUCUUUUAAGUUUGAAUUGAAAGAUUCAUGGAUUUGGGGAUGUUUAAAUUUUAGAUGGAAAAAAGGAAUGAAAUCUAAUAGAAUUUGUGUGAGAGAUGUGUAGUAAAAAAGAUGCAUUGUUAAAAGGAGAAUUGUCUUUGCUUUUUUAGCUUUGAGCUUUAAGGGGUUGGCUUUAUUCCU